UAGGAAAUCUUCGGCAAUGGGGGCAACCCUGACCGAGCAACGCCGCGUGAGUGAAGAAGGUUUUCGGAUCGUAAAGCUCUGUUGUAAGAGAAGAACGUGUGUGAGAGUGGAAAGUUCACACAGUGACGGUAACUUACCAGAAAGGGACGGCUAACUACGUGCCGG
rnacentral:rRNA from 1 species